rnacentral:misc_RNA from 1 species
CGUUUGUUUUAACAGAAAAAGAACGGCGUAAACCAUAUACCUAUAAACUCCAAUACUCAUCUUAUCAUUACUAGUGUAAGUAGUAAAUUUUGAAGCCAAGAAAGAGAGAAAGCAAUAUUAAACAUAAUGUUAAUUUGGCAUAAGUCUAUUGCGUAGUGGAAAACUCCGUCGUUCAAGCUUUGGCCAAUUAGCGGGUUCCUUGGUUAGACUUGAUGAUGACCCACUGUUGCCUCUGGAUAAAUUCCAUCCCGCAUUAUCAGUCGAGCUUCUAUUCGUGCAACACACUUCAAGCCUAAACUCACAUGUUGAGAAACAUUUAGAACUUCUAAAACUGGAGGUACAAAAGCCCCUAAAAUCCAUCUGGCACUUCAUAGAAGAACUGGCUCAUAUAGUAAAGAAAUCCUGGGAUCUAUCAACUGUACCACUAAAACCAUUUCCAGAGUACCAGCACAUACAAAAGAUAGCAAGUCAUAUCUACAAAAGGGAUGUUUCAACAGCCAAUGGAACCUUAAAUGUGACCCUAAUAAGGGAAAGUAUUUUUAUCCCAUUGUUGGCGAUCUGUGACCUAAUGUCCAGAUCGCCCUUAAUAAAUACAAAUCCAGUAUUGUUGGUGGCGCUAUUAAUUGUGAGAGCUUGCCUGGCCUCUGUGGAUGGUGUAUUGAAUUAUGUCAGUAGGGCUGAGGAUAGCGGUGAGAUUCUAAAGGAGGUUCAACAGAGUUUUAAAGAAGUUUUUGUCUCAUAGCAUUUUAAAAUAUGUUCGUGGUUUAAUAUCAGAAAUAAACGUCUUAUUAGUUUAAUA